CAUAGGUUAAUGAGGCGAACCGGGGGAACUGAAACAUCUAAGUACCCCGAGGAAAAGAAAUCAACCGAGAUUCCCCCAGUAGCGGCGAGCGAACGGGGAGGAGCCCAGAGCCUGAAUCAGUGUGUGUGUUAGUGGAAGCGUCUGGAAAGGCGCGCGAUACAGGGUGACAGCCCCGUACACAAAAAUGCACAUACUGUGAGCUCGAUGAGUAGGGCGGGACACGUGGUAUCCUGUCUGAAUAUGGGGGGACCAUCCUCCAAGGCUAAAUACUCCUGACUGACCGAUAGUGAACCAGUACCGUGA
rnacentral:rRNA from 1 species